AGGAGGAACAGCCCCAGUGGCGGGGCAGCUCUGGAGCCCUGGAUUCAGCCCCCGCAGGAACUGCGGAGCUCUCCGUCUGCAGGGCCUGGAGGCUCCGGGGCGGG
rnacentral:pre_miRNA from 1 species